GAUGAACGCUGACAGAAUGCUUAACACAUGCAAGUCAACUUGAACUUCGGUUUGGGUGGCGGACGGGUGAGUAACGCGUAAAGAACUUGCCUCACAGCUAGGGACAACAUUUGGAAACGAAUGCUAAUACCUGAUAUUAUGAUUAUAUGGCAUCGUAUAAUUAUGAAAGCUAUAUGCGCUGUGAGAGAGCUUUGCGUCCCAUUAGCUAGUUGGAGAGGUAACAGCUCACCAAGGCGAUGAUGGGUAGCCGGCCUGAGAGGGUGAUCGGCCACAAGGGGACUGAGACACGGCCCUUACUCCUACGGGAGGCAGCAGUGGGGAAUAUUGGACAAUGGACCGAGAGUCUGAUCCAGAAAUUCUGUGUGCACGAUGAAGUUUUUCGGAAUGUAAAGUGCUUUCAGUUGGGAAGAAAAAAAUGACGGUACCAACAGAAGAAGUGACGGCUAAAUACGUG
rnacentral:rRNA from 1 species